rnacentral:lncRNA from 1 species
UGGACCCCAAGUAGCAGAAUAGAGAAGGCUGAAAAGUGAAUUUGGAGAGAUAAAGAAGAUAUCCAAUACAGUAAGUUUCAGAGAGGACAGGAAAGAGCAUUAAAGAAAAGAAAAAUGAAACAUAAAUAACCAGAGUUCUUAAUCCUAGAGAACAAAAUGAUUGAAAUAAUUGAACAAAAUGAUUCCAGAAUAUGAAGUUUAGUUUAUAGAUUUAAAAAAGCCAUUUUAUACAAGUAAAAAAAUAUCUUGGACUGUAAUAAAAUGGGUUUUAACUCUAUAAAUCAGAUAGCGACAGUCUGUAUGCCAGUACAACACAUUAAACACUUGAAUGAUUCCUUGGAAAGUUUUUUAUUUUAAAAUAUAUUUUUAGUUAUAGAUAGACACAAUGCCUUUAUUUUACUUAUUUAUUUUUAUGUGGUGCUGAGGAUUGAAUCCAGUGUCUCACACAUGCUAGGUGAGCAUUCUACCACUGAGCCACAACCCAGCCCUUUUGAGCCUUUUUCCAUGAUAUUUAUAAGUUUCUCUGAGGAUUACAUACUGUUUCUCUUUUAAAGGCAAGAGAAAUUCACCAAAUAACUCUUUUAACAGUUCUAAUUUUUUAAAAAUGUGAAGCCAUACUAAAAAUCAUCAUAUACCCUUAGAAGCUGUAUUAUGUCCUAUGGUUAUGUUAACGAACCUCCACACACUUAGUGGUUUAACUCACAGUUCCCAUGGGUCAGAAGUCUGGGCAGAGCUUACUGCGUCCUGUGUACAGGUUCUCACAAGAUUGUAAUCAAGGUAUCAGAAGGGCUGUGUUCUCAUCUGGAGGCUCAAUUGGGAAAAAAUGUGUUUCCAAGGAUUUAUUUGCUGUAGCUAUAUGAUGAGGAUCCCAGCUCAUAGCUUGUAGUCACUGUCGGAUCCUAGAGACUGAGUUAAGAUCCUUGCUAUAUAUAUAUUUCUUCAAAAUGACUCUUUACUUCAAGCCAGCAAGGAGACUUCCUCACUUUGUUCUGCUAGGAAGGAGUCUUAUUAUAGCACAACCACUGCGGGAGUGGUAG